rnacentral:lncRNA from 13 species
GGCCGCCCCGCGGGGGGGCAGGUGGAGCCGCCAGACCCCCGUGGGGACGGGAUGGGCCGGGGGGCACCGGCCCUGUGCCCCCCGCCCUUCUGUACGGGAACCCACCGCAGCCCCUGGCGCUGCCUGGCGGGGGCGGCCAGCCGGGGAAGGAAGGGGGGAGUCCGUCUCUCCUGCCCCCGGCUGCCGCCCCGCUACCGCGGCGGCCCCCGGCGCUGCGCGACGCUGGAGGGGAGAGAGGGGCGAGCGCUACGCGUUUAUUAGCGGGAAGGCGGGCGGGCUGUGGCAGAAGAUGUCGGCGGGGUGGGCGGGAAGGCGGCGGGCGGGCGGCUGAAAGGCGCUUUCUCUGCGCGGUGCCGGAGCGCGGAGGGAUACGACGCACGGGGAGGAGGAGGGGCUGCGACGGCCGCGGGGCAGCGGCGACUGGCGGCGGCGACGGCGGCGCUGGAAGUUCCCGAGUUCCAGCGUCGCAAGAAUGGGAAGCGAACGAAGCCAAAAUGCCCCUGGGGAGCGCGGCCCCGCUGGGGAGAUCCGGUGCUUCCACACCCCCCGCUUGCCGCGGCUCCCCCGUAGCCCAGCCCGCUCCCUCGGAGCCAGCCGUGGACGCCAGGGCGCUGCCAGGGGCUUUGGCAUCUGCGCGAGCGGUGGGCAAGAGGAGGAGUGUUGUCAACGCGAGGACGAGCGAUGGAUGGUGAUGCCUGCAACCUAUGGCUGAACUGGAGGUCGCGUUGGGGCCUUGCAAGAACGAAUGUGUUUGUGGACAAUAAGAACGAAUUUAGCAGGGAUCAAUGUAAACAGGGGAAGCCUGUCAUUUUUUAAUAUUCCAUUAGCCUCAGUUAUUAACUGAUGUUAACUUGUGAAGCAAAGACAAAAGUAUAUUUGAAAUUAUAUAGAAACUAGACAAAGAACUAUUUUUUUUCUGUACAUAAAACCCCCUGAAAUUUUCAGCUAUCUAACUUUCAACAAAAUUAAAUUUGAACUACAUUUCUGUGCAGCUGAGGGUAAGAUGAGUUGACCAUUUUUAUACGUGUUUCCGAGGCCUGCAAGCUCACUUUAGGAUCUCAAGCUUUGUGCGUGACACAGUGAGAAAGCUUUGCUGCAAUCAGCCUUCUGCUUUAUUGAAGAAAUGUUACCCUGAAAGAUUAGAGAAAGGAGGCUAAAAUGUAACGUAUUUCCAUUGUCUUAUUAUAAAAAUUAAAUUUAUAUAGCAGAUGUCUACAUGCUGUGCAUUUUUUACAUACAAUUAUCACAUAUCCUAAAAAUCAUUAAAAUCCUAAUCUAGAAUUCGUUAUCAUUAGGGUAACUGAAUUUUGUAGGAUUUUUUUUUUAAAAAUAAAAAGCAAGACUGUAUGUACUAGAUUUGAUCACAUUAUCUGUGGCUAUGAUCAUUAUAUAUUUUAAAACGUGCGUGUAUCUCUCUUUCCCCAGAUUUGUAACAAUAACCACUGUUUCAGCUUCAUUUUAAAUCCACACUUCAAAUAAUUAAAAUGGCAAUGAAAUAAUAUUUAAUGUCUAAUAAAGAUUUAAAAAAUAAAAUGACUUGAAUCUUUUCUUAGCAAUGUAAAAUAUGUAUUGUAAUAUCUCUCAUAGGUGACUCUCACAACAAAGGGCUACAUGAAUAAUGUGAUUAACAUUUUAAUUUCCCUUGAUGUUUACAUAAAAGAAAGCAUCCUUAUGUAUGACAUCACUGAAACUGUAAACCAAGCAAUAGAGAAGUUUUAACAGUAAGGAGACUAAAGUAGAGGAAAAGCUCUCAUGGAUAUAUUGACCCUCCUUGUUCUUUCGGCAACUACUAACUUUUCCUAUUGCAGUUUAAAACAGAGCCCAGAGAAUCAAAAAGUUCUUGGUGUUUUGACAAUAAAAUAAGGAUUGUGUCUUUUUAUUUAAUUUUUGUAGAUCACCAAGCAAAGUGAAAUCAUAGUCCCAGACUUGAGCUUGAGCACUGCAGUACUACAAGUAAAUAUUUAAUAAACAGCUUUUACAAACAUACAUUCCACUUUCUUUUUACAGAUGAAAUCUGAUGGGACUUUUUUGUUUAUGUGUGGUAUAACAUGAAAGUCACACACAAGAGAAAAUGCCUAAUUAUUGUUUGAUGAUACAUGUGAGAAUGAGUACUGAGAAUUCCUACAACACUAAUAUUCCAUUCAUUUUUCAGAGAUAUUUUAAAAGGUUUUUUUACUCUUGUAGUUAAAUAGAAGAUUUUUUUUAAUAAUGUACACACGUGGAGAAAAAUAUAAUCUCUGAAUUUUUAUUAUCUCUAUUGUUUUUCUUUCACAUAAUCCCUUUUCUUUCAUGUGAUCUUGUCACCUUACAUCAUUCUAAACUAAAAUACAUCAGUCCUGCUUUGUCAGUAAGAUUCAAUGUUUUCAGGAGAAAUUACUGUGAAAGGUCUUCAUUUAAAAAAAUAAAAAGUAAUGGAAUUAUUUUAUUUUGUGACUUUCAAAUGUUAAUAUUCACACACAAUUGCUAAAUUAAUUUUACAAAAAGAAAAGGAAGAAUAAAGUUUCCUAGAUUUUCCUGUUGCUGCAGAUUUUACACUUCAGCUAUACUAAGCUAUGGACUGAUCUCAAGAGUUGCUGGUUUGGGAUGUCUCUUUUUACCUUAAUUUGGCCUUUUUUUUUCCCUUCCAUCUUCCUCUUCCCCCCUAAGAAGUGCUAUAAGCUGUAUAAGUAUCCAAAUACAGAUAUAUUUCUGAAUUACUGGUUACUUUUGACAGAUAAGAAUGCAGCAUCUUUGGUUUCUUCUUGCUUUUUCUGGUUUCCUUCUGCACUUUUGGGGUUGGUUCCUUAGGGAGUUUGGGGUUGGGGUUUUUUUGUUUGUUUUUUUUUUUACUGAUAUAUUUUAGCCAGUGCUUUUUUGUGUCAGCAUAAUUUUAUACCUUGUGCCCAGAAAGUACAUUACUUGGAUCCUAGUAGUGGCAGUUCUUGACAUGAAAAGCCUUUCUGUUUCUUCUGAAAUUUGCUCUUCUCCUUUUCUUUAGAGACAAAGAAAUGUAUUUAGGGUUUGUAAAUUGUCAAGCUGAACAAUGUAGCUAAAUAUUUGAAGCAUGAUAUUGGCAGGGGGUGGCUGAGAGCAACACAAAGCAGUGACUAAGCUUUCCUCGGUUUUGGAUGGUUGGUUGGUUACUUGAACAGGGGGUUUUUGGUGUUUUUUUUCUACCUCAAAUGAGAAUUAUCACUACUAGUUGCUUGUUGUUUCUUACUCUUGAAACCAACCAUAAACCUUACAAGGGCCAGAAGUGUGUGAUGAGUGCUUGUGAGGCCAGCAACUUUAUUAUCACUUAUAUUAACUUCAUGCAGAAAGAACCACACAUGCUAAAAUACAAUGCUACUAUGAGCAAAUUCCUUCUGUAGUUUCAAACAAUGACUUGGA